rnacentral:rRNA from 1 species
GUGGGGAAUUUUGGACAAUGGGCGCAAGCCUGAUCCAGCAAUGCCGCGUGCAGGAAGAAGGCCUUCGGGUUGUAAACUGCUUUUGUACGGAACGAAACGGUCCGGGUUAAUACCCUGGGCUAAUGACGGUACCGUAAGAAUAAGCACCGGCUAACUACGUGCCAGCAGCCGCGGUAAUACGUAGGGUGCAAGCGUUAAUCGGAAUUACUGGGCGUAAAGCGUGCGCAGGCGGUUUUGUAAGACAGGCGUGAAAGCCCCGGGCUCAACCUGGGAAUUGCGCUUGUGACUGCAAGGCUGGAGUGCGGCAGAGGGGGAUGGAAUUCCGCGUGUAGCAGUGAAAUGCGUAGAUAUGCGGAGGAACACCGAUGGCGAAGGCAAUCCCCUGGGCCUGCACUGACGCUCAUGCACGAAAGCGUGGGGAGCAAACAGGAUUAGAAACCCGUGUAGUCC